rnacentral:tRNA from 1 species
GCGAUAGCUCAGUCGGUAGACCAUGAGGCUCUUAACUUCAGGGUUGUGGGUUUGAGCCCCAUGUUGGGCA